CGCGAAAACGCGCGCAAACACAACGGUGUACACUCAUGAAGGACCUCGGACGUUAACGGAACAUAUAAUAAAAUGUUAAUCGAUUAAAAUUAGCGAGUCUUAGUUAUUCGUUAUAUUGAAUAGAUGUUUAGCAUUCGUUUUUUUUUUGUUAUUCUAAAGUCUGGACUUAAUUUCGAACAUAUCAAGCUAAUUUGGUCACGUGUUAGAAGUAAAGAUUGUAAAUGUCCAUUUGCAUUAGUCGAAUCACUUUAUUUUUACUAUAAACAAUAAAGGAAUUGAAAGCUUAGGCUCUACGACUAAGCUUCCACAGCCAUGGAUUUGAGUAACACCUGAGCUUGCUCUAUUUGUGAUACAACCAUUCUGUAUACUAAUCUGUCCAAAACCCAUUAAGUUUCUACUGGCUGAUCAGAUUUGUAACGACGUCUAUUACAUAUAAUAAUUUUGUUAUUAAAAUAUUUGAAAGUAUACUUCACAAAUACUUGAUGUUUUUCUAUCAUAAUUAGUUUUGCAUUUAUAUUCAAUUUGUUAGGUAUUUUGUUCAAAAUGCGUAGGUAUAUUUCGUAAAAUAAAUCGUAAUAUUACAACCUACCAUUAUAAAGUUAUAUUAAGGAAACAGUACUUUCAAAUAUUUUAAAAACACAAAACCUAAAGUACCUCAGUAUAAAUGUUAAACUCAGUUGAUCCAACAGCUAUCUUCCAUAUACCUUUGUCAUUUCAUGUUACCAAAAGAGGCAACAGGUACUUCAUAAUCAUGCCUCAUGUUUAGCUUCACCCGCAAAUCUGUCUACUUGUCAAAGAGGUUAAAAUUUAACCAUGGCCCAUACCUGAUUCAUCUUAUUUUAUUAGUAAGUUUAUGUUGUCAACCAAAUAUUAUUUGUAAAUAUCGAAAGUUAGCUGUUGGAGCACAUCUCGACAGUCGGUCGACAGUUUAACAAUCUGCCCGUCUUUGCAGAUAACAAUAAGGAUGUGUUCAUUUGUAAUUGUAAUGAUUUUUACACUGGCGUAUUGCAACCUUGCCGCAAUAAAUGCUUAACUUUAUUUGUUAUUGAUUUUUUAACAAAUAAUGUGCGAGAAGUACUGUAAGAAUUUAAGGAUUUUAUAAAUAAAAUACAAAAAAAAUAAAAUAAAUGUAAUGAAAGUUCCAAAAAUACUUUAAAAUUAGUCUACGACGGUACUUGUAAAAUUAAAUGCAUAUUUUUGAAUAUAGCUCAUAAACCAAACCUAUUUUCUGUAAUCGGUUAGAAUUGUAAAUAUGUUUUAAUUGUAACUUACUUAACAGUAGGUCAUUUAGUUUUAAAUAUAAAUGGUACAAUAUAUGUUUUGACAUAA